AGAGUUUGAUCCUGGCUCAGAUUGAACGCUGGCGGCAUGCUUUACACAUGCAAGUCGAACGGCAGCACGGGUGCUUGCACCYGGUGGCGAGUGGCGAACGGGUGAGUAAUAUAUCGGAACAUGUCCGGAAGUGGGGGAUAACGUAGCGAAAGUUACGCUAAUACCGCAUAUGCCCUGAGGGGGAAAGGGGGGGAUCGCAAGACCUCUCGCUUUCGGAGUGGCCGAUAUCAGAUUAGCUAGUUGGUGAGGUAAAGGCUCACCAAGGCGACGAUCUGUAGCUGGUCUGAGAGGACGACCASCCACACUGGGACUGAGACACGGCCCAGACUCCUACGGGAGGCAGCAGUGGGGAAUUUUGGMCAAUGGGCGAAAGCCUGAUCCAGCCAUGCCGCGUGAGUGAAGAAGGCCUUCGGGUCGUAAAGCUCUUUCGGACAGAAAGAAAUCGCACUGGUUAAUACCUUGUGUGGAUGACGGUACUGUAAGAAGAAGCACCGGCUAACUACGUGCCAGCAGCCGCGGUAAUAC
rnacentral:rRNA from 1 species